rnacentral:rRNA from 1 species
UACGAAGGGGGCGAGCGUUGUUCGGAGUUACUGGGCGUAAAGGGCGCGUAGGCGGCGAUCCAAGUUAGGCGUGAAAGCCCCGGGCUUAACCUGGGAAUUGCGCUUAAGACUGGACUGCUUGAGUGCGGGAGAGGUGAGUGGAAUUCCCAGUGUAGAGGUGAAAUUCGUAGAGAUGUGGAGGAACACCGAUGGCGAAGGCAGCCUCCUGGGCCAAUACUGACGCUCAUGCACGAAAGCGUGGGGAGCAAACAGG